rnacentral:rRNA from 1 species
GACGAACGCUGGCGGCGUGCCUAACACAUGCAAGUCGAACGGAGUUGACCUUCGGGUUAACUUAGUGGCGAACGGGUGAGUAACGCGUGAGAAACCUGCCUCUCAGUGGGGGACAACAGUUGGAAACGACUGCUAAUACCGCAUGACACUUUAGUACCGCAUGGUACAGAAGUCAAAGCUUUAUGUGCUGAGAGAUGGUCUCGCGUCUGAUUAGCUAGAUGGCGGGGUAACGGCCCACCAUGGCGACGAUCAGUAGCCGGUCUGAGAGGAUGAACGGCCACAUUGGGACUGAGAUACGGCCCAGACUCCUACGGGAGGCAGCAGUGGGGAAUAUUGGGCAAUGGGGGAAACCCUGACCCAGCAACGCCGCGUGAAGGAAGAAGGCCUUCGGGUUGUAAACUUCUUUUACCAGGGACGAAGAACGUGACGGUACCUGAGAAAAAGCAACGGCUAACUACGUGCCAGCCGCCGCCGUAAAAC